CUAGCCCUUGCAAACUGUUGCUUGGCUCCUGGCUGAAAUCAGGAGCAGCUGCCUGAGAAUCAGAGCUUCUGAAAUGCUGGUUCCAUCUUGGCAAGAACAGAACUGCAGGAGCAAAUGCAGAACACAAAGAAGAACCAACAUAUUGUGGGACCACAUCAUCUUGGAAACCUGGGAUGACUAGCAAUGGCUUUGGAACUUUUACAUGAGCAAACCGACCUUCAUUGAGCUGUAUAAGCAUUUAGGAGCAUCAGUGAAGGAAAAAAUUCCAUGGUGAUAGGCUCAAUACAAACAAAGGACAGAAAGAAACCCAUUCCCUUCCCCACAGAACUUACAAUCUUAAAUACAAGACAAGAGACAAGAUGGAUACAGACAGAUGGAGGUGUCAAAAGAAACCAUGAGACAAUACUGGCCAGCAAGAUAGGCUAUGGUCUCAGCACACUGCCAGGCUUGCCAUCAUCAAGUUAUUUUGUAGACUUCAUGGCAAACGGGAGUUGUAAGAGGGGAUGACAAGGAGUAGUGAGUUUUGCAAAUGUUUAUGAAGUGAUCUUAUUUACUGUUUAAGUAAUAAAACAAUCAUCAUCACUACCUCUUACAAUUUUAGUGGCAUGCAAAACUGGUAUGUAGAGAGGGUACCAGAGUAUAGUGAUAAUUCUGUCAUUUUUAUCGUAAAAAUGAGAUCUAAAUUGUUUACAAGUCCCUUGACUUUUGUUGACUGU